UAGGGAAUCUUCGGCAAUGGGACGAAAGUCUGACCGAGCAACGCCGCGUGAGUGAAGAAGGUUUUCGGNUCGUAAAACUCUGUUGGUAGAGAAGAACGUUGGUGAGAGUGGAAAGCUCAUCAAGUGACGGUAACUACCCAGAAAGGGACGGCUAACUACGUGCCA
rnacentral:rRNA from 1 species